rnacentral:rRNA from 1 species
UUUCCCAGUCACGAUAAAAGGAUGAGGUGUGGAUAGGGGUGAAAGGCUAAUCAAACUGGGAAAUAGCUAGUUCUCUCCGAAAUAUAUUGAGGUAUAGCCUCACUGAAUUCGUAGCGGAGGUAAAGCACAGUUUAAAUUUUUGGGGGCGCAAGCUUACCAAGUUUUUACUAACUCUGAAUGCCGCUACGUUAGAAAGUGGGAGUCAGACUGCGAGGGAUAAGCUUCGUGGUCGAGAGGGAAACAGCCCAGACCAUCAGUUAAGGUCCCUAAAUAUUCGCUAAGUGGAUAAAAGAAGUGAAAACGCAAAGACAGUCAGGAUGUUGGCUUAGAAGCAGCCAUCAUUUAAAGAAAGCGUAAUAGCUCACUGAUCAAGUAUUUUUGCGCUGAAGAAUGAACGGGGCUAAGCGAAUUACCGAAGCUAUGGCAAAGCAUUUUAUGCUUUGGGUAGGAGAGCGUUCUUUGAGAGAUACGCGCUUGACUGUAAAGACAGGUAACGGCUCAAAGAAGUGAGAAUGUUGGUAUAAGUAACGAAAAAAUAGGUGAGAAUCCUGUUCGCCGUAAGUCUAAGGUUUCCGUGAGAACGGUUCAUCCACUCAGGGUUAGUCGAUACCUAAGCCGAGGCCAAUUGGAGUAGGCGAUGGAAAGCAGGUUAAAUAUUCCUGCACCGCAUAUAAACGUUUGAGUGAUGGGGUGACGCAGUAAGGUAGGUUGACUUGGAUUUUGGAUUGCCAAGCUAAGCUCAUAGAGGGGUUCUGUAGGAAAAUCCGCAGGCCGCAUACCUUGAAGAGUGAUGGGUGCAUCAAUCUCUAGUAGAGAGAUGUAUUCAAUCGAUCCUCCACUGACUAGAAAAACCUCUAGCGAGUUGUAUAUGUGAUCGUACCGCAAACCGACACAGGUAGACGGGUUGAGAAUACUCAGGCGUUGAGAUAAGUGUCACUAAGGAACUCGGCAAAAUUGCUCCGUAACUUCGGGAUAAGGAGUGCCUCUUCUGUCAUUUUUAAAGAAGAGCAGAUAGAGGCUUCAAUAAAUAGGCCCAACCGACUGUUUAACAAAAACACAGGGCUCUGCAAACUCGUAAGAGGAAGUAUAGAGUCUGACGCCUGCCCAGUGCUGGAAGGUUAAUAGGAGAUGUCAGUCCUUCGGGACAAAGCGUUGAAUUGAAGCCCCAGUAAACGGCGGCCGUAACUAUAACGGUCCUAAGGUAGCGAAGUACCUUGUCGGGUAAAUUCCGACGCGCAUGAAUGGCGUAACGAGUUGGGCGCUGUCUUGGUGAUAUACUCAGUGAAUUUGUAGUGCCGGUGAAAAUGCCGGCUACCCGCGACAGGACGGAAAGACCCCGUGCACCUUUACUAUAGCUUGACAUUGAUUUUUGGAUUGAUUUGUGUAGGAUAGGCGGGAGACUUUGAAGCCGAGGCGCUAGCUUUGGUGGAGUCAACCUUGAAAUACCGCCCCUAUCCGUUUGAGAAUCUAACUUCGAAUACCCGUAAUCCGGGCGAAGAACAGUGUCUGGUGGGUAGUUUGACUGGGGUGGUCGCCUCCCAAAUUGUAACGGAGGCGUUCAAAGGUCCCCUCAUGACGAAUAGAAAUCGUCGGUAGAGCGCAAAAGCAGAAGGGGGCUUGACUGCAAGACAGACAAGUCGAGCAGGUGCGAAAGCAGGAUUUAGUGAUCCAGUAGUUCCGAAUGGAAGGGCUAUUGCUAAACGGAUAAAAGGUACGCCGGGGAUAACAGGCUGA